AUGGGUGCAGAACAGUUGAGUUCUGCCUGGGAGCGCUUGUUACAGAGGUUUGUUGUAGUUGAAACUGGCACCGGAUGCGUGUCAAUGCCCCUCCGGCAGAAGGUCCUUGUCGGUCGAUGCUGUUGUGUUUUUUCACUUGCGGUAAUGGGUUCGUCAGCCCGGUGUGAAACCAGCACUUGUCCUUCCCUAGACGUGUCCCGGGUGGUUCUCAUCUCCAAGGGAAGGUGUCUGCAGGACGCUCCUUAUCUCUGCGCUUUCGGAGGAACAUUUCCUGUCGCAGCCGCUGGAGGCAGCUACAAGGAAAACCCCUCGGGUAUGAAAGACACCUUUGCAUAAGAUGCUGUCAAACACAUCCCUGUGGAAGAA
rnacentral:lncRNA from 12 species